rnacentral:rRNA from 1 species
CGAAACGCGGUGAAGUAGCGGGGGUAAUACGGGGGGUAGGUGUGGUAACCGGAAUUAGUGGGCGUAAAGCAUGCUCAGUCGGUGUGUGGGUGCGGAUGUUAAAACGCUGUGGCUUAACCGUGGGCCUGCAUGCGAUACGGGCAAACUAGAGGGGGGUAGGGGGGACUGGAACACCUGGUGUAGCCGUGGAAUGCGCAGAUAUCAGGAAGAACACCGAUGGCGAAGGCAGGUCUCUGGGCCAUAACUGACGCUGAGGUGCGAAAGCGUGGGGAGCAAACAGGAUUAGAUACCCUUGUAGUC